rnacentral:rRNA from 1 species
AACGAACGCUGGCGGCAUGCCUAACACAUGCAAGUCGAACGAGACCUUCGGGUCUAGUGGCGCACGGGUGCGUAACGCGUGGGAACCUGCCCUUAGGUUCGGAAUAACUCCCCGAAAGGGGUGCUAAUACCGGAUAAUGUCUUCGGACCAAAGAUUUAGCGCCUGUGGAUGGGCCCGCGUUGGAUUAGCUAGUUGGUAGGGUAAAAGCCUACCAAGGCGACGAUCCGUAGCUGGUCUGAGAGGAGGAACGGCCACACGGGGACUGAGACAAGGCACAGACGCCUAAGGGAGGCAGCAGUGGGGAAUAUUGGACAAGGGGCGGAAGAAUGAUGCAGCAACGCAGCGUGCGGGAUGAAGGACGUCGGGUGGGAAAAAGCUUUCGCCUGUGACGAAGAGGGAGUGACGGUAAGGGGUAAAGAAGCACCGGCUAACUACGUG